rnacentral:rRNA from 1 species
UACGAAGGGGGCUAGCGUUGCUCGGAAUCACUGGGCGUAAAGCGCACGUAGGCGGCUUUCUAAGUCAGGGGUGAAAUCCUGGAGCUCAACUCCAGAACUGCCUUUGAUACUGGAGAGCUUGAGUCCGGAAGAGGUGAGUGGAACUCCGAGUGUAGAGGUGAAAUUCGUAGAUAUUGGAAGAACACCAGUGGCGAAGGCGGCUCACUGGUCCGGUACUGACGCUGAUGUGCGAAAGCGUGGGGAGCAAACAGGG